GGAGCUUGCUCCCGGAUGUUAGCGGCGGACGGGUGAGUAACACGUGGGUAACCUGCCUGUAAGACUGGGAUAACUCCGGGAAACCGGAGCUAAUACCGGAUAGUUCCUUGAACCGCAUGGUUCAAGGAUGAAAGACGGUUUCGGCUGUCACUUACAGAUGGACCCGCGGCGCAUUAGCUAGUUGGUGGGGUAAUGGCUCACCAAGGCGACGAUGCGUAGCCGACCUGAGAGGGUGAUCGGCCACACUGGGACUGAGACACGGCCCAGACUCCUACGGGAGGCAGCAGUAGGGAAUCUUCCGCAAUGGACGAAAGUCUGACGGAGCAACGCCGCGUGAGUGAUGAAGGUUUUCGGAUCGUAAAGCUCUGUUGUUAGGGAAGAACAAGUGCGAGAGUAACUGCUCGCACCUUGACGGUACCUAACCAGAAAGCCACGGCUAACUACGUGCCAGCAGCCGCGGUAAUACGUAGGUGGCAAGCGUUGUCCGGAAUUAUUGGGCGUAAAGGGCUCGCAGGCGGUUUCUUAAGUCUGAUGUGAAAGCCCCCGGCUCAACCGGGGAGGGUCAUUGGAAACUGGGAAACUUGAGUGCAGAAGAGGAGAGUG
rnacentral:rRNA from 1 species